rnacentral:rRNA from 1 species
GGAAUUCGUGGUGUAGCGGUGAAAUGCUUAGAUAUCACGAAGAACUCCGAUUGCGAAGGCAGCUUACUAACCUGUAACUGACAUUGAUGCUCGAAAGUGUGGGUAUCAAACAGGAUUAGAUACCCUGGUAGUCCACACGGUAAACGAUGAAUACUCGCUGUUUGCGAUAUACGGUAAGCGGCCAAGCGAAAGCGUUAAGUAUUCCACCUGGGGAGUACGCCGGCAACGGUGAAACUCAAAGGAAUUGACGGGGGCCCGCACAAGCGGAGGAACAUGUGGUUUAAUUCGAUGAUACGCGAGGAACCUUACCCGGGCUUGAAUUGCAACCGAAUAUGGCGGAAACGCCAUAGCUAGCAAUAGCGGUUGUGAAGGUGCUGCAUGGUUGUCGUCAGCUCGUGCCGUGAGGUGUCGGCUUAAGUGCCAUAACGAGCGCAACCCUUGCCGAUAGUUACUAACAGGUCAUGCUGAGGACUCUGUCGGGACUGCCAUCGUAAGAUGUGAGGAAGGUGGGGAUGACGUCAAAUCAGCACGGCCCUUACGUCCGGGGCUACACACGUGUUACAAUGGGGGGUACAGAGGGCUGCUACCACGCAAGUGGAUGCCAAUCCCAAAAACCUCUCUCAGUUCGGAUUGAAGUCUGCAACCCGACUUCAUGAAGCUGGAUUCGCUAGUAAUCGCGCAUCAGCCACGGCGCGGUGAAUACGUUCCCGGGCCUUGUACACACCGCCCGUCAAGCCAUGGGAGCCGGGGGUACCUGAAGUGCGUAACCGCAAGGAGCGCCCUAGGGUAAAACUGGUGACUGGGGCUAAGUCGUAACAAGGUAGCCGUACCGGAAGGUGCGGCUG